GGUGGCUUUUGAAAAAGGGCUUAUAAAAACUACAAUCAGCUGUAGACAACGCCACCUAACGAGUACCAAGCUGACUCAUGUACUCGAGCAAACAAAGAAAAUAUUUUUUCAAAUCAUCUUUAUAGUCAAUGUAAACAUAAUUAUAAAAGAAACCUAUAAUAAAAGGGAAACCAUGCAUUCUGUCCUCUGAGGACAACCACAACACAUGCUGAUUUUUGUACCAGGCCACAUAUUGUUUUUGCAGGGCUUGAUUACAAUCAGCGCUGUUUCUGUGCUUAUGCAUGGCGCACCAGAGAGGGAAAAGGACAACGACAGGGGGCCACCCGAGGACUUCCUUUGUCUGGAGAUUGUAACUUAGCGCUGAAAGAAGAGAGAGGGAGAGAUUGAGCUGCCAGCCUGUACCCAGCAUGAGAGCAGGAAAGCCCUGUCCUCGCGUGAGCUAUAGUAAAUUCCUUCAUUUCCCAGGAUUGUUCUCCGUCAGGGAAAGGCAAGCGGUUGUUUCUCAGGCUCUGAGUUGCAACAAGCCAAAGCAGAACUCUCCCUUGUCUGAUAUUUCUAAGGACCCAAUGCAUUACAUCAUCCAGUUUACAAAUCCCUUUUUUUACUGAAGUUCCACAGUAAGCUAUUAUUCAUAAAACAGUUUACAGUUCCAGUGCGGAGGAUGAUAAGAUGGCGGGAGGACUCGGGAUAUAAGAGCAAUAAACAUGUAUUGAAAUGUAAUGAUUAUUAACAUUGAAAGUUUUAUUAAUGCUGUAUUUACAUUAAUGUCCUUGGAGACAAUCUCACAUUACUAAACCGACUAUGUGAUUUUCCUUAAAAUUCACAUAAAAGAUUGAAAGAGAAUAAAUAGCAUGUCCAAACC